GACGAACGCUGGCGGCGUGCUUAACACAUGCAAGUCGAACGGAAAGGCCCUGCUUUUGUGGGGUGCUCGAGUGGCGAACGGGUGAGUAACACGUGAGUAACCUGCCCUUGACUUUGGGAUAACUUCAGGAAACUGGGGCUAAUACCGGAUAGGAGCUCCUGCUGCAUGGUGGGGGUUGGAAAGUUUCGGCGGUUGGGGAUGGACUCGCGGCUUAUCAGCUUGUUGGUGGGGUAGUGGCUUACCAAGGCAUUGACGGGUAGCCGGCCUGAGAGGGUGACCGGCCACAUUGGGACUGCGAUACGGCCCAGACUCCUACGGGAGGCAGAAGUGGGGAAUAUUGCACAAUGGGCGGAAGCCUGAUGCAGCAACGCCGCGUGCGGGAUGACGGCCUUCGGGUUGUAAACCGCUUUCGCCUGUGACGAAGCGUGAGUGACGGUAAUGGGUAAAGAAGCACCGGCUAACUACGUG
rnacentral:rRNA from 1 species